UACAGAGGUCUCGAGCGUUGUUCGGAUUCAUUGGGCGUAAAGGGCACGUAGGCGGCGGGGUAAGUCUGGUGUGAAAUCUCGGAGCUCAACUCCGAAAUUGCACUGGAUACUGCUCUGCUAGAGGGCUGGAGAGGAGAUCGGAAUUCACGGUGUAGCAGUGAAAUGCGUAGAUAUCGUGAGGAAGACCAGUGGCGAAGGCGGAUCUCUGGACAGCUCCUCACGCUGAGGCGCGAAGGCUAGGGGAGCAAACGGG
rnacentral:rRNA from 1 species